AUGACCGCGCCCACUGCACAGAGGGCAGCUGAGGCUCCGACAGCACACACAGACUCAGCUGGCCAGUGGGAGAGCCGUGUGCGACAGCCAGGACCCACGUCUGAGGAGCGCGUGUGGCCCACGUGCUCGGAGCCCCAGGGAGCGCGCUCAGAAAUGGCUCAGCUGGACUCCGUGACUGAAACCAGCCCCAGACUCUUCCCACUGAGCCUCGGGAGCGACAACUCAGACGGGCAGGUGGUCAUCGCCUGCCUGGUCCAGGGCUUCUUCCCGUCAGAGCCACUGAAGGUGACCUGGAGCCAGAGCGGCGAGGGCGUGUCCAUCAGGAACUUCCCCCCUGCUCAGGCCGGGGGCCUGUACACCAUGAGCAGCCAGCUGACCGUGCCGGCCGGCCAGUGCCCAGACAACAAGUCUGUGAAAUGCCAAGUGCAGCACCUCUCCAAAUCCAGCCAGGCCGUGGACGUGCCCUGCAAAGUUCCAGAUAAGCAGUGUCCAGUUAAGUGCAAGGUCAGCCUGUCCCUGCACCCACCGGCCCUUGAGGACCUGCUCCUGAGCUCCAAUGCCAGCCUCACGUGUACGCUGAGUGGCCUGAGAGACCCCAAGGGCGCCACCUUCACCUGGAACCCGACAGGUGGGAAGAAUGCCAUCCAGGAGCUGCCCAAGCCUGACAUCUGCGGCUGCUUCAGCGUGUCCAGUGUCCUGCCGCGCUGCAACGAUCCCUGGAAAAACGGACAGUCCUUCUCCUGCACUGCCACCCAUCCCGAGUCCAAGGACCCGCUAACCGCCACCAUCAAGAAACCCUCAGUGAACACGUUCCGGCCACAGGUCCACCUGCUGCCGCCGCCGUCGGAGGAGCUGGCCCUCAACGAGCUGGUGACACUGACGUGCCUGGUGCGAGGUUUCAGCCCCAAGGAUGUGCUGGUGCGGUGGCUGCAGGGGAACCAGGAGCUGCCCCGCGAGAAGUACCUGACCUGGAGCUCCCUGCCCGAGCACAGCCAGAGCGUCCCCACCUUCGCCGUGACCAGCGUGCUGCGCGUGGACGCCGAGGCCUGGAAGCAGGGGGAGUCCUUCUCCUGCGUGGUGGGCCACGAGGCCCUGCCCCUGGCCUUCACCCAGAAGACCAUCGACUGCCUGGCGGAUCACCAGGACCCGCUGCCCUGGCUGGUGCUAGACCUGCUGCGGGAGGGCCCCGAGGAGGACAGCCUGGAAGCCAGCCUGUGGCCCACCACCAUUACCCUGCUCACCCUCUUCCUGCUGAGCCUCUUCUACAGCACGGCGCUGACCGUGACGAGCGUCCGGGGCCCGCCUGACAGCCGAGAGGGCCCCCAGUACUGA